CAGCAGCCGCGGUAAUACGGAGGGAGCUAGCGUUGUUCGGAAUUACUGGGCGUAAAGCGCACGUAGGCGGCUUUGUAAGUUAGAGGUGAAAGCCUGGAGCUCAACUCCAGAAUUGCCUUUAAGACUGCAUCGCUUGAAUCCAGGAGAGGUGAGUGGAAUUCCGAGUGUAGAGGUGAAAUUCGUAGAUAUUCGGAAGAACACCAGUGGCGAAGGCGGCUCACUGGACUGGUAUUGACGCUGAGGUGCGAAAGCGUGGGGAGCAAACAGGAUUAGAUACCCCAGUAGUCCCUGUCUCUUAUAC
rnacentral:rRNA from 1 species